rnacentral:rRNA from 1 species
CCUCGGAGAGUUUGAUCCUGGCUCAGGACGAACGCUGGCGGCGUGCCUAAUACAUGCAAGUCGAGCGAACAGAAGGGAGCUUGCUCCCGGAUGUUAGCGGCGGACGGGUGAGUAACACGUGGGUAACCUGCCUGUAAGACUGGGAUAACUCCGGGAAACCGGAGCUAAUACCGGAUAGUUCCUUGAACCGCAUGGUUCAAGGAUGAAAGACGGUUUCGGCUGUCACUUACAGAUGGACCCGCGGCGCAUUAGCUAGUUGGUGGGGUAAUGGCUCACCAAGGCGACGAUGCGUAGCCGACCUGAGAGGGUGAUCGGCCACACUGGGACUGAGACACGGCCCAGACUCCUACGGGAGGCAGAGUAGGGAAUCUUCCGCAAUGGACGAAAGUCUGACGGAGCAACGCCGCGUGAGUGAUGAAGGUUUUCGGAUCGUAAAGCUCUGUUGUUAGGGAAGAACAAGUGCGAGAGUAACUGCUCGCACCUUGACGGUACCUAACCAGAAAAGCCACGGGUAACUACGUGCCACCAGCCGCGGUAAUACGUACGUGGCAAGCGUUGUCCGGAAUUAUUGGGCGUAAAGGGCUCCCCAGGCGGUUUCUUAAAUCUGAUGUGAAACCCCCCGGCUCACCCGGGGAGGGUCAUUGGAAAACUGGGAAACUUGAGUUGCAGAAAAAGAGAGUGGAAUUCCCCCUGUAUCAGUGAAAUGCGUAAAAUGGGGGAGGAACACCAGUGGCGAAGGCGACUCUCUGGUCUGUAACUGACGCUGAGGAGCGAAAGCGUGGGGAGCGAACAGGAUUAGAUACCCUGGUAGUCCACGCCGUAAACGAUGAGUGCUAAGUGUUAGGGGGUUUCCGCCCCUUAGUGCUG